rnacentral:lncRNA from 1 species
CCGACAUAUGAAUCAAAUCAAUGGCGGGACUUCGCAACAGAAAUGAAGACGCAACAAAGCAACCGGGAACGAUCAAGGUCACCAAACCGACCGUCAUUUCCGAACUAACAAUUGUUCUUCGUCUGAAAAGUUGAAACAGGUUUAAUCCAAGACAACCGUGCAAGAAGCAGGUGUUGCCCAAAGGAGAAGGUACAUGGGUACAAGAAAUAUUUUGGCAAUAAGGAAUUCACUCGAAAGGUAAGUUUUCACGAAACUCCCUUUUGUCUUUUACUAAAACAAGAAAAUUCAAAAAAAGAGGUCAGUUGUUUGUUCUCGAAUUUUGUCCCCAGCUAAUCAGCAUUAGGGUUUUAAACCCUAAACUGAAUUUUUCCUUUAGUCAGCAUUAGGGUUUUAAACCCUAAACUGAACUUUUUUCCAUUCAGCCAGCAUUAGGGUUUUAAACCCUAAACUGAGCUUUUCCAUGCAAUCAGCAUUAGGGUUUUAAACCCUAAACUGAAUUUGACUUUUAGUCAGCAUUACGGUUUUAAACCCUAAACUGAACUUUUUUCCAUUCAGCCAGCAUUAGGGUUUUAAACUCUAAACUGAGCUUUUCCAUGCAAUCAGCAUUAGGGUUUUAAACCCUAAACUGAGCUUUUCCAUGCAAUCAGCAUUAGGGUUUUAAACCCUAAACUGAAUUUUUCCUUUAGUCAGCAUUAGGGUUUUAAACCCUAAACUGAGCUUUUCCAUGCAAUCAGCAUUAGGGUUUUAAACCCUAAACUGAAUUUGACUUUUAGUCAGCAUUAGGGUUUUAAACCCUAAACUGAAUUUUUUCCAUUCAGCCAGCAUUAGGGUUUUAAACCCUAAACUGAGCUUUUCCAUGCAGUCAGCAUUAGGGUUUUAAACCCUAAACUGAAUUUUUCCUUUAGUCAGCAUUAGGGUUUUAAACCCUAAACUGAACUUUUUCCAUUCAGCCAGCAUUAGGGUUUUAAACCCUAAACUGAGUUUUUCCAUGCAGUCAGCAUUAGGGUUUUAAACCCUAAACUGAAUUUUUCCUUUUAGUCAGCAUUAGGGUUUUAAACCCUAAAUUGAACUCUCCCUUUAGUCAGCAUUAGGGUUUUAAACCCUAAACUGAA